rnacentral:lncRNA from 1 species
UUGAUUCUAAUUCGCGUUUGUGAACGCAACUGGAGGGACCGAAUUAGACGGCUGAAAUUUCGCGGUUAAUACGAAAAUAUACGAAAAUAUACGAACUUGACCGAACGUUGACGCGAGCUGACGUACGCGUGCUCGUGCGCGCGCCACCGUUCGUAAACAUUCGGUUAUGUUCGUGGGGAAUGCGCAAAUACGGGCGAAUAGGAAUUACGAGAAGUGGGGGUGAAAAGCGGCGCUGUCGAAUUUCGCGCAUGUUCCCCACUCAUACAGAUACCGGUCGCAGCGCUGGAAACACGUAUAGAGAGAGUGACACCAUGCCGCUUCGUUAAAAAGAGGGUUGGUCAAACUGAUGCUCAAUGGCGCUUACUGACAAGUUACCAGUUUUUUUAGCAACAAAGGCGUCUCUCUCUCUCUCUCUCUCUUUCCCUCCCUCUCAACCAACAACAUUUGACAAUCUAUUUUCGGCACUUUAAUCUAUAACUCAGGUGAGCUAAUAUUAAAUCGAAUCAUUGCCAAUGAAUUAUUUAGGGAAAAUUUCAAUGUACUACUUUUUUAAGUAUUCUUGAACGAUAAAUGUGAAUGUACUAACACGGGACACUAUUUAAACGAAGGCUACUAUCGAACCGGUCUUACUACGGAAAUCACGGAGAAGGAGAUG